UACGUAGGGUGCGAGCGUUACUCGGAAUUACUGGGCGUAAAGCGUGCGCAGGCGGUUUUUUAAGUCAGAUGUGAAAGCCCUGGGCUUAACCUGGGAAUGGCAUUUGGGACUGCAAGGCUUGAGUGCGGCAGAGGAGACUGGAAUUCCUGGUGUAGCAGUGAAAUGCGUAGAUAUCAGGAGGAAUACCGAUGGCGAAGGCAGGUCUCUGGGCUGACACUGACGCUCAUGCACGAAAGCGUGGGGAGCAAACAGG
rnacentral:rRNA from 1 species